rnacentral:rRNA from 1 species
GGAAUAUUGGACAAUGGGCGAAAGCCUGAUCCAGCAAUGCCGCGUGAGUGAUGAAGGCCUUAGGGUUGUAAAGCUCUUUUACCCGGGAUGAUAAUGACAGUACCGGGAGAAUACGCCCCGGCUAACUUCGUGCCAGCAGCCGCGGUAAUACGAAGGGGGCAAGCGUUGUUCGGAAUUACUGGGCGUAAAGGGCGCGUAGGCGGCCGAUCAAGUCAGGCGUGAAAUUCCCGGGCUCAACCUGGGGGCUGCGCUUGAUACUGAUUGGCUUGAAUGCGGGAGAGGAUAGUGGAAUUCCCAGUGUAGAGGUGAAAUUCGUAGAUAUUGGGAAGAACACCGGUGGCGAAGGCGGCUAUCUGGCCCGUAAUUGACGCUGAGGCGCGAAAGCGUGGGGAGCAAAC